rnacentral:pre_miRNA from 13 species
CUCCACCUCAGUGCAUAACUCUUCAACCUGAGGACUCGCAGGGUAAAUGGAAUGCCGUCCUUUGGUUGUUGAGUUGUGCAUUUUUGGGU